rnacentral:rRNA from 1 species
GGUUAAGCGACUAAGCGUACACGGUGGAUGCCUAGGCAGUCAGAGGCGAUGAAGGGCGUGCUAAUCUGCGAAAAGCGUCGGUAAGCUGAUAUGAAGCGUAAUAACCGACGAUACCCGAAUGGGGAAACCCAGUGCAAUUCGUUGCACUAUUGCAUGGUGAAUACAUAGCCAUGCAAGGCGAACCGGGGGAACUGAAACAUCUAAGUACCCCGAGGAAAAGAAAUCAACCGAGAUUCCCCCAGUAGCGGCGAGCGAACGGGGAAGAGCCCAGAGUCUGAAUCAGUUGGUGUGUUAGUGGAAGCGUCUGGAAAGUCGCACGGUACAGGGUGAUAGUCCCGUACACAAAAACACACUGGCUGUGAACUCGAUGAGUAGGGCGGGACACGUGACAUCCUGUCUGAAUAUGGGGGGACCAUCCUCCAAGGCUAAAUACUCCUGACUGACCGAUAGUGAACCAGUACCGUGAGGGAAAGGCGAAAAGAACCCCGGCGAGGGGAGUGAAAUAGAACCUGAAACCGUGUACGUACAAGCAGUGGGAGCACCUUCGUGGUGUGACUGCGUACCUUUUGUAUAAUGGGUCAGCGACUUAUAUUUUGUAGCAAGGUUAACCGAAUAGGGGAGCCGUAGGGAAACCGAGUCUUAACUGGGCGUCUAGUUGCAAGGUAUAGACCCGAAACCCGGUGAUCUAGCCAUGGGCAGGUUGAAGGUUGGGUAACACUAACUGGAGGACCGAACCGACUAAUGUUGAAAAAUUAGCGGAUGACUUGUGGCUGGGGGUGAAAGGCCAAUCAAACCGGGAGAUAGCUGGUUCUCCCCGAAAGCUAUUUAGGUAGCGCCUCGUGAACUCAUCUUCGGGGGUAGAGCACUGUUUCGGCUAGGGGUCCAUCCCGGAUUACCAAACCGAUGCAAACUCCGAAUACCGAAGAAUGUUAUCACGGGAGACACACGGCGGGUGCUAACGUCCGUCGUGAAGAGGGAAACAACCCAGACCGCCAGCUAAGGUCCCAAAGUCAUGGUUAAGUGGGAAACGAUGUGGGAAGGCAUAGACAGCCAGGAUGUUGGCUUAGAAGCAGCCAUCAUUUAAAGAAAGCGUAAUAGCUCACUGGUCGAGUCGGCCUGCGCGGAAGAUGUAACGGGGCUAAACCAUGCACCGAAGCUGCGGCAGCGACGCUUAGGCGUUGUUGGGUAGGGGAGCGUUCUGUAAGCCGUUGAAGGUGGCCUGUGAGGGCUGCUGGAGGUAUCAGAAGUGCGAAUGCUGACAUAAGUAACGAUAAUGCGGGUGAAAAACCCGCACGCCGGAAGACCAAGGGUUCCUGUCCAACGUUAAUCGGGGCAGGGUGAGUCGACCCCUAAGGCGAGGCUGAAAAGCGUAGUCGAUGGGAAACAGGUUAAUAUUCCUGUACUGGGUGUGACUGCGAAGGGGGGACGGAGAAGGCUAGGCUAGCCGGGCGACGGUUGUCCCGGUUUAAGCAUGUAGGCGGAGCGACUUGGUAAAUCCGGUUGCUUAUCAACGCUGAGGUGUGAUGACGAGCCACUACGGUGGUGAAGUAGUUGAUGCCAAGCUUCCAGGAAAAGCCUCUAAGCAUCAGGUGACAUUCAAUCGUACCCCAAACCGACACAGGUGGUCAGGUAGAGAAUACUCAGGCGCUUGAGAGAACUCGGGUGAAGGAACUAGGCAAAAUGGUGCCGUAACUUCGGGAGAAGGCACGCUGGCAUUAGGUAAAGAGACUUGCUCUCGGCGCCGAAGCCAGUCGCAGAUACCAGCUGGCUGCAACUGUUUAAUAAAAACACAGCACUGUGCAAACACGAAAGUGGACGUAUACGGUGUGACGCCUGCCCGGUGCUGGAAGGUUAAUUGAUGGGGUCAGCCGCAAGGCGAAGCUCUUGAUCGAAGCCCCAGUAAACGGCGGCCGUAACUAUAACGGUCCUAAGGUAGCGAAAUUCCUUGUCGGGUAAGUUCCGACCUGCACGAAUGGCGUAAUGAUGGCCAGGCUGUCUCCACCCGAGACUCAGUGAAAUUGAACUCGCUGUGAAGAUGCAGUGUACCCGCGGCAAGACGGAAAGACCCCGUGAACCUUUACUAUAGCUUGACACUGAAUAUUGAGCCUUGAUGUGUAGGAUAGGUGGGAGGCAUUGAAGCGUGGACGCCAGUCUGCGUGGAGCCAACCUUGAAAUACCACCCUUUAAUGUUUGAUGUUCUAACUCGGCCCCAUAAUCUGGGGUGAGGACAGUGUCUGGUGGGUAGUUUGACUGGGGCGGUCUCCUCCCAAAGAGUAACGGAGGAGCACGAAGGUUAGCUAAUCACGGUCGGACAUCGUGAGGUUAGUGCAAAGGCAUAAGCUAGCUUGACUGCGAGAGUGACGGCUCGAGCAGGUACGAAAGUAGGUCUUAGUGAUCCGGUGGUUCUGAAUGGAAGGGCCAUCGCUCAACGGAUAAAAGGUACUCCGGGGAUAACAGGCUGAUACCGCCCAAGAGUUCAUAUCGACGGCGGUGUUUGGCACCUCGAUGUCGGCUCAUCACAUCCUGGGGCUGAAGUAGGUCCCAAGGGUAUGGCUGUUCGCCAUUUAAAGUGGUACGCGAGCUGGGUUUAGAACGUCGUGAGACAGUUCGGUCCCUAUCUGCCGUGGGCGUUGGAAGAUUGAGAGGGGCUGCUCCUAGUACGAGAGGACCGGAGUGGACGCAUCACUGGUGUUCGGGUUGUCAUGCCAAUGGCAUUGCCCGGUAGCUAAAUGCGGAAAAGAUAAGCGCUGAAAGCAUCUAAGCGCGAAACUUGCCUCGAGAUGAGUCUUCCCUGGGGCUUUAAGCCCCCUGAAGGAACGUUAAAGACUAUGACGUUGAUAGGCUGGGUGUGUAAGUGCAGCGAUGCAUUGAGCUAACCAGUACUAAUGAUCCGUGAGGCUUAACCUU